rnacentral:rRNA from 1 species
ACGAACGCUGGCGGCGUGCUUAACCCAUGCAAGUCGCACGGAAAGGCCCUGCUUUUGUGGGGUGCUCGAGUGGCGAACGGGUGAGUAACACGUGAGUAACCUGCCCUUGACUUUGGGAUAACUUCAGGAAACUGGGGCUAAUACCGGAUAGGAGCUCCUGCUGCAUAGUGGGGGUUGGAAAGUUUCGGCGGUUGGGGAUGGACUCGCGGCUUAUCAGCUUGUUGGUGGGGUAGUGGCUUACCAAGGCUUUGACGGGUAGCCGGCCUGAGAGGGUGACCGGCCACAUUGGGACUGAGAUACGGCCCAGACUCCUACGGGAGGCAGCAGUGGGGAAUAUUGCACAAUGGGCGGAAGCCUGAUGCAGCAACGCCGCGUGCGGGAUGACGGCCUUCGGGUUGUAAACCGCUUUCGCCUGUGACGAAGCGUGAGUGACGGUAAUGGGUAAAGAAGCACCGGCUAACUACGUG